AGUGAACGCUGGCGGUAGGCCUAACACAUGCAAGUCGAACGGCAGCACAGUAAGAGCUUGCUCUUACGGGUGGCGAGUGGCGGACGGGUGAGGAAUACAUCGGAAUCUACUUUUUCGUGGGGGAUAACGUAGGGAAACUUACGCUAAUACCGCAUACGACCUACGGGUGAAAGCAGGGGAUCUUCGGACCUUGCGCGAUUGAAUGAGCCGAUGUCGGAUUAGCUAGUUGGCGGGGUAAAGGCCCACCAAGGCGACGAUCCGUAGCUGGUCUGAGAGGAUGAUCAGGCACACUGGAACUGGGACACGGGCCAGACUCCUACGGGAGGGAGCAGUUGGGAAUAUUUGACAAUGGGGGGAAGCCUGAUCCAGCCAUACCGCGUUGGUGAAGAAGGCCUUCGGGGUGGAAAGCCCUUUUUGUGGGAAAGAAAAGCAGCAGGUUAAUACCCCGCUGGUCUGACGGUACCCAAAAAAUAAGCACCGGCUAACUUCGUG
rnacentral:rRNA from 1 species